CAGUAGCCGCGGGAAUACGUAGGGUGCAAGCGUUAAUCGGAAUUACUGGGCGUAAAGCGUGCGCAGGCGGUUAUAUAAGACAGAUGUGAAAUCCCCGGGCUCAACCUGGGAACUGCAUUUGUGACUGUAUAGCUAGAGUACGGCAGAGGGGGAUGGAAUUCCGCGUGUAGCAGUGGAAUGCGUAGAUAUGCGGAGGAACACCGAUGGCGAAGGCAAUCCCCUGGGCCUGUACUGACGCUCAUGCACGAAAGCGUGGGGAGCAAACAGGAUUAGAUACCCGAGUAGUCCCUGUCUCUUAUAA
rnacentral:rRNA from 1 species